rnacentral:rRNA from 1 species
GCUGGCGGCGUGCUUAACACAUGCAAGUCGAACGAGAAAUCUUUAGCUUGCUAGAGAAAGUAAAGUGGCGCACGGGUGAGUAACGCGUGGGUAAUCUGCCUCGGAAUCGGGGAUAACAUUGCGAAAGCGAUGCUAAUACCGGAUAAAAUCUGGUUGGCUUCGGUGAACCGGAUCAAAGGUGGUCUCUUUAUAAAAGCUACCGUUUGGAGAUGAGCUCGCGUACCAUUAGCUAGUUGGUGAGGUAAAGGCUCACCAAUGCGACGAUGGUUAGCUGGUCUGAGAGGAUGAUCAGCCACACCGGAACUGGAACACGGUCCGGACUCCUACGGGAGGCAGCAGUGAGGAAUUUUGCGCAAUGGGGGAAACCCUGACGCAGCAACGCCGCGUGAGUGAUGAAGGCUUUCGGGUCGUAAAGCUCUGUCAGGUGGGAAGAACCCACCAAGUGUUAAGACCACUUGGUGCUGACGGUACCACCGAAGGAAGCACCGGCUAACUCCGUGCCAGCAGCCGCGGUAAUACGGGGGGUGCGAGCGUUAUUCGGAAUCAUUGGGCGUAAAGGGCGCGCAGGCGGUUUUGUAAGUCAGAUGUGAAAUCCCGGGGCUUAACCCCGGAAGUGCAUAUGAAACUAUGAGACUUGAGUAUGGGACAGGGAAGCGGAAUUCCUGGUGUAGCGGUGAAAUGCGUA